AACGAACGCUGGCGGCAGGCUUAAUACAUGCAAGUCGAGCGGGCACUUCGGUGUCAGCGGCGCACGGGUGCGUAACGCGUGGGAACAUGCCCUUAGGUACGGAACAACACAGGGAAACUUGUGCUAAUACCGUAUAAUAUCUCCGGAUCAAAGAUUUAUCGCCUAAGGAUUGGCCCGCGUUAGAUUAGGUAGUUGGUGUGGUAAUGGCCUUCCAAGCCGACGAUCUAUAGCUGGUCUGAGAGGAUGAUCAGCCACACUGGAACUGAGACACGGUCCAGACUCCUACGGGAGGCAGCAGUAAGGAAUAUUGGACAAUGGGCGAAAGCCUGAUCCAGCCAUGCCGCGUGAGUGAUGAAGGCCUUAGGGUUGUAAAGCUCUUUUAGAUGGGAAGAUAAUGACUGUACCAUCAGAAUAAGCCCCGGCUAAAUUCGUGCCAGCCGCCGCCGUAA
rnacentral:rRNA from 1 species